AGAACGAACGCUGGCGGCAUGCCUAACACAUGCAAGUCGAACGCUCUUGGGGCUUCGGUUCCAAGGGAGUGGCGCACGGGUGAGUAGCGCGUGGGAACCUGCCCUGGAGUGGGGGAUAACCGAGGGAAACUUCGGCUAAUACCGCAUACGCCGGGAAACCGGGAAAGAUUUAUCGCUCUAGGAGGGGCCCGCGUCGGAUUAGGUAGUUGGUGGGGUAACGGCUUACCAAGCCUGUGAUCCGUAGCUGGUCUGAGAGGAUGAUCAGCCACACUGGGACUGAGACACGGCCCAGACUCCUACGGGAGGCAGCAGUGGGGAAUAUUGGACAAUGGGCGCAAGCCUGAUCCAGCAAUGCCGCGUGAGUGAUGAAGGCCUUCGGGUUGUAAAGCUCUUCCGCACGCGAGGAUGAUGACGCUAGCGUGAGAAGAAGCCCCGACUAACUUCGUGCCAGCAGCCGC
rnacentral:rRNA from 1 species